UCUGAUUUCCAAUGUGCUUCUUGCUUGCAAUAAUGACAUUGGUUCCCAUAGCCUGGGUUUUGUGGGCCCGAGGAUCUGUCUCUUCCCCUGAAUCUACUGGGGCCUCUCCUUCCCCGUCCUCAUCCCCUUCCUCUACCUGGACCCUGCAAUUGAGAAAUCUGUAAGGCCAUUAACUUAAACUCAGCAUUGUCUUUGAACCGUUCCAAUUUGUUAUGAAAAUGGUUAGCUGCAGCAAGGACUUCAGUCAAAUCUUUAGUUUCCCAGCCAAUAAUUACUGUUUGAAUUUUCUCAGCAAUUUUAGGGUUAAGUCCCUGGACGAAUGCUGCCACUAUUGCUUGUUUAGCAUUUUCGACCCGGUCAUCCAUUCCUGAAUAUCGUUCAAAUGCCUGUUUGAGGAGUUCCAAAUAGUCACUGGGGUGUUCAUUUUUGUUUUGUUUACAGGUAUUUAUUUUGGUUCAGUCUGCCUUUUUUGGGCAAAUUGUGAGAACUGCCCGAACCAAAGCAUUUCUCUUGUCAAUAAAGUCUUGGCCAGUCCCUGGGUUUUGAUCUGGCCAAGUACUGGCAGCGUACAGACUCAGCAUAGUUUCCUUGGGCAAAAUGGAUCGCAUGAGCUGAUUAAUGUCAGCCCAUGUUGGAUUAUAACAAUUUAUAACAGUCUGCAAUUCUUCCUGAAAUUUUUCUGGGUCUUCCCUGAUUUGGGGGAAUUUUUGAGUUAAAUUGUAGAGAUCACCUGGAGUCCAGGGUGCAUGCACGGUUACUAUAUUUUGUCCAUUGGUGCCAAUGCCUGGCAUUUGUCUUAGGGGGAGAAUUUGUACAUCCCGUGAUCUAAGAUUAAUGGCAGAUCUUUGCAUGCCUAUUCCCAUUCUUCUAAAUACACCUGUGGUGGGUUGUGACCCAGGAGUAAAUUGCCACACUGGUGAUGAUUGAGUAGCAGGUAUGGUGGAUGAGUUCGGACUAUUAAACUCCGUAGAUGAGUUUACCAAAGGAGCUUCAGCUAAUGGGUUACUAGCCUGGGCUGCAGCCUGAUGUUGAACCGGUUGUUGCUGAUGUGGGAGUUUCAGGAGAGCAGGGUUCGAACAAAAGUUAAGGAUAUUCUUUGCUGGCUUUGGCAGUGGGGGCACCCCGGGCAAUGCUGGAUACAUUGGUGCGGUGGCCGGUGUGUAAUUUGGGGGAGCAGCCAAUUUUUCCCGAACAGCUUUUAACUGCUGUUUUAAUUUUUUUUGAGAGUCUUUUAGACUUUCAGUUUGAGAUUUUGUUCGCCUUUUGGACAUCUCAUCAUACUAAUAAAAGAACACGUCCCACUGGUUUUAUGGUGUUUUGGAUUCACGCCAGGUUUCAACCUUGGCCAGUUUGCUGCAGGGAUUGAUGUCCCUCACACAGCUUUAUCCCACUCAAAACCCCAGAAAGCAGAGGGAGAGAACAGAGGUCUCAAGCCCUGAGACAGAUUUUCUCUCGCUGUCCCUGAGGCUUGUCCUGCACAUUGUUUCAGUUUGCUUCAUCAGUGAAGAGCAGGGGUGCCCCCCCUGCCACCCCCCACCCAUGGGUAUUAGGCUUUCCUGGCUCCCAAAUCAGCAUUCAGACUUCAGCACCCCAGGAACAAGAAGAGAGAUCAGGCCAAGUGGCCGCAACUUUAAAUAACUUUUCUGACCUCAUCCAGGGCCCCAGCCAGAAAGCAGCUUCAUUGCACCACCGUUAAUGCCGAUCCAAGGCGGUCGGCCCUCCAGGACUUGGCCAGAGUCACUGAGCUGGGUUCUAAAUAGAGCGGGUCAGAGCAGGUGCAUAGGCACCCAGUGGGUGACACUCCCAAACAGCGAGGAGGCUUUUGUCGACAGGGUAAAGCUGUAGAGGUGGCUGGAAUUGUUUCUAAUGAAUCCCCUUGGUUUAAUGGCACAAUCUCACCUGAGUUGAUGGAGCAGAGAUGGAGCCAUUCCUGUGGGAGCAGGUUUUGGAAACUGCUUGACCAGUUACAACCCCCCUGAGGGAAACAGCCUGGGGAAGGUGUUGUGCCCACAGAGGCGUUCCCUAGGAAGGACUGACAUCUGGCUGUGCCCGCUCUUUACUGCUGGCUUACUCCUUCUCUCCUUACAGAGCAAACAGAACCGACUGUCUCUGGCUUUGCUUCAGUUUAUUAUGUGUGAUUUACUUGUGUUCUGUGUUUGACUGAUGCUGAGUUUUGCUGGAGCCACAAAACCCUUGGAAGACUGUCUGACUACCUGGGUUUCCUUUUUUCAGACUCUGGCAAAACAAGAGCCUGCUUCCAAAGAUGGCCAGGCCACUCCAUCAACUCCUUCCCAGGUAUCCCGGCCGCCCUUUCAGGCGACAGCUGCCUGCUGCUCUCACUUAGUCGGCAGAAUCUCUUUCUGCCCGUGGGGACUCCUUGUCUCCAGGCGUAAGGAGAAUCCAUAGUGUGGCGAGCUCCCUUUUUAAUUAUGCCCCUCCUCCUUUCAGGGUGCGAUGCACAGUCCCUUAUUUGUGGGCAUCAUCUGAUUUUUAGCCCCUACCUGGACUGUUCUCUUCCUUAGCAUUUCGACUGGUCUUCUGGGAAAGUUGCCUGGAAAGGAAGCUGAGCAGCAGGUGUCUGGGGAUGCGGAGACCUUGAACUAGAGGAGAUGCUACUUCCUCUGAGGGAAAUAAUCCCAUUUCUGUUCAGCUGUGAAGUGAAAUCUCACCCCUGUGACCAUGGCAAGUGUCUGAGGAUUUGGUUUUUCAGGCAGUAGCCAAGGCAAGCUAAGAAGGCAACGAAUGUUUUGCUUGAAUGAGGCAGACAAGGUUCCUUGAGUGAAUUUGAUAUCUUUUAUUAGACCAACCCAAAUAGUUGGAGAAUAGUUAUUAAGCAAGCUUUCAAGUUCAAAAACCCUUCGUCAGGCUAAGGAAGUUUCAGCAGUUGGUGUGUACUUGAAGCAUUUCAUUUGAAUUUGGGGAGAUGCAUUUCAAAACAAAUACAUUCAGGUAAAGACUGAAGCAGAAAUAUAGUUUGCAGGUAUAGUGUGAACCAUCUCACUUCAAAAAUACCAAAGGGAGGCUUUACUUCUGUUUUUUCCUUUUCCCCAGUUUCUUAGGCCAUGCAAGUGGAGGAUUUCGAAAUGCCAUCGCAAACUGCUUUGCUUAGCCCUAAUAGGCACUGUUUGGCAACAAAGCUUAGUGCCAAGAAAUCGGUCAUGCCAUCCUGCCUGUAACAGCCUUGAUUUCACAUGCACGUGACAAUUAGCUCCAUCUCCAUGUGAAAGCAUUGACUUGCAACUCUAGUAGUCUGAAAUACAGACCCCUGCGCUGCCUUCUGCCCGAGUCCAGUCUCACACAGCUAACCCCCUCUCUCCACUCAGGGCCUGCCAAUGGCACAGGAGACGAGCUCGGAGAGCAAUUUGUUUGCUACCUUGUGGGCGUUUUGGAUCAGCCCUGAGAGGGAGCCUGGCUGAGUCCCCCAAAACAUCUGCUGAGGUGAGUGGGACGCAGCCCUGUGGCAAGGAUUGCAGGGUCUAAACAGAAAUGCUUUGUUUGUGAAGUUACAAAAUGCAGCAAUUGAGCACCCUGCAGGCUAAGUACCCCCACUUCAGGCUGGAAAGGUGCCAUGAAUACAUCCCACGGCAUCCAGCUAGCAGAUACUUAAGAUGCUUCUGGGGGCUGUACCAUGGCAGUACCCAAGCCCUCCCAGGAAAAGGAUUUUGGACAGACGACCUCCUGGUGCCCUCCCGAGGGCAUGAACCAAGGAUGAUGCCAUGUCUGGGAAGAAGCCAGGGCAGGCAGAGACAGGAAAAACUUGGAGUCCUGGUCAGCUUCGACCCACUGGGAAGGGGAGGAUCCAGCAUGUCUUGGAGUCAUUGCAAAAGAUUCCAGGCAAGAACUGUGCAGCUUGGUGCAGCAUCCGAAAUCUGCUUUCUAUGCCACUAAAGAUGAUUCUACGGCUGUACUAUGGCAGUUCCCACGCCUCUCUGGGAACACGGACUGUGACCCGCGACCCCCAGCUCUCUCCUGGACCUGGUCUGCAGGACAUCAAGCAUGAAGGAGUGGAUGUGGGGGCUGUAUGAUGUAGGGCAGAAAAUCAGCACCAGAAAGCUACUCCCUCUGUUCUACCCCUUCCCUCUCCAGCCCUCACCACCCUCCCUGCCUCUCCUUUCCCCCUAUAUAUUAUGUUAGGUUAGGCUAGGUUAAGUUAUAUUAUAUUGUUUUAUUUCCUAUUA